rnacentral:rRNA from 1 species
CUACGGGUCGCUGCAGUGGGGAAUAUUGCACAAUGGGCGCAAGCCUGAUGCAGCCAUGCCGCGUGUAUGAAGAAGGCCUUCGGGUUGUAAAGUACUUUCAGCGGGGAGGAAGGGAGUAAAGUUAAUACCUUUGCUCAUUGACGUUACCCGCAGAAGAAGCACCGGCUAACUCCGUGACAGCAGCCGCGGUAAUACGGAGGGUGCAAGCGUUAAUCGGAAUUACUGGGCGUAAAGCGCACGCAGGCGGUUUGUUAAGUCAGAUGUGAAAUCCCCGGGCUCAACCUGGGAACUGCAUCUGAUACUGGCAAGCUUGAGUCUCGUAGAGGGGGGUAGAAUUCCAGGUGUAGCGGUGAAAUGCGUAGAGAUCUGGAGGAAUACCGGUGGCGAAGGCGGCCCCCUGGACGAAGACUGACGCUCAGGUGCGAAAGCGUGGGGAGCAAACAGGAUUAGAUACCCUCGUAGUC